UACGGAGGGAGCUAGCGUUGUUCGGAAUUACUGGGCGUAAAGAGCGUGUAGGCGGCCAAGCAGGUCCGUUGUGAAAACUGGAGGCUUAACCUCCAGACGUCGACGGAAACCGCGUGGCUAGAGUCCGGAAGAGGAGAGUGGAAUUCCUGGUGUAGCGGUGAAAUGCGCAGAUAUCAGGAAGAACACCAAUGGCGAAGGCAGCUCUCUGGGACGGUACUGACGCUGAGACGCGAAAGCGUGGGGAGCGAACAGG
rnacentral:rRNA from 1 species